rnacentral:rRNA from 1 species
CCGGCGACCGGCGCACGGGUGAGUAACACGUAUGAAACCUGCCCGUAGCAGGGGGAUAAGCGGAAGAAAUUCCGUCUAAUACCGCGUAACAACCCAUGGAGGCAUCUCUGUGGGUUUAAAGGAAGCGAUUCCGGCUACGGAUGGUCAUGCGUCGCAUUAGCUUGUUGGCGGGGUAACGGCCCACCAAGGCGACGAUGCGUAGGGGUUCUGAGAGGAAGGUCCCCCACACUGGUACUGAGACACGGACCAGACUCCUACGGGAGGCAGCAG